rnacentral:sRNA from 1 species
GCUGGGUGUGGUGGUGCAUGCCUGUAAUCCCAGCAGCUUGGCUUGGGAGGCUGAGGCAGGAAAAUCACAAGUUCAAAGCCAGCCUCAG